rnacentral:lncRNA from 1 species
AAUUCCCAUCUACAAACCAAAACCCCCAAUCCCAAAGGUGCUUCCACCACCAGUUCCCAUCUACAAACCAAAACCUCCAAUCCCGAAAUUGCUUCCACCAAUUCCCAUCUACAAACCAAAACCCCCAAUCCCGAAAGUGCUUCCACCAAUUCCCAUUUACAAGCCAAAACCCCCAAUCCCGAAGGUGCUUCCACCACCAGUUCCCAUCUACAAACCAAAACCCCCAAUCCCGAAAUUGCUUCCACCAAUUCCCAUCUACAAACCAAAACCCCCAAUCCCGAAGGUGCUUCCACCGAUUCCCAUCUACAAACCAAAACCCCCAAUCCCAAAGGUGCUUCCACCACCAAUUCCCAUCUACAAACCAAAACCCCCAAUCCCGAAGGUGCUUCCACCGAUUCCCAUCUACAAACCAAAACCCCCAAUCCCAAAAGUGCUUCCCCCACCAAUUCCCAUCUUUAAACCAAAACCUCCAAUCCCAAAAGUACUUCCACCACUAGUUCCGAUUUACAAACCAAAACCGCCAAUCCCAAAAGUGCUUCCACCAUCAAUACCUAUCUACAAACCAAAGCCACCAAUCUUUAAGCCACUGCCGC